rnacentral:misc_RNA from 1 species
AAGUCGUAACAAGGUUUCCGUAGGUGAACCUGCGGAAGGAUCAUUAACACGUUUUAUCCACGUAUCUUAUCCACAAUUACUACGAACUGUGCUCCCUGUUAGUGAACUCAUGGCUGUUCGGUGCUGGUUGUUAGUGGGCUUCCUUCGGGAGGCACAUCAGUGCUGGGCUAUCAUACCUCCGAGUAUGUGGCUGUGUAAAUUCUAACAGGCUUAUUGACUCUUCUCGUCGCCCUACCACUAUGGGGAGGCGAGAAGGACCCCAUACCAACCUAUUUCACCCUAUUUUACCAACAAUGGCUAAUUCUUUUCGAUGGGAGAAAUCCUAUUGAAUACAACUAAGAUUUAAUCUUAACUAAGCACAACUCUUAGCAAUGGAUAUCUUGGUUCUC